CAUGACAUAGACAUAUCUUCUUCGUCCCGCCCUCCGGCUCUUUAGUACAGGCGGGAAAGGUAGGAGGUGUCCCGAACGGAGGCUGAGCGGGACGAGGGCGAGGGCGAGGGCGGAGACGCGCGAGGGGAAGCGAGGAGAUCAGAAGGCGCCGGCGAGGCGGACGGAGCGGCCCGGCGGUACUCGAGGCGGCGGAGGUCCUACAGGGUGUAGCGGCGGCGGCGUCGGAGGCCCCUCAGGUUAGUCGGCCGCCGCCGCCCCCGCCGACGCAGGCCGAACCCGGUCCUUCUGCUGCUAGAAAGUAACCCGAUGGCGGAAGGGGGGUUUCUUUAUGUCCUGUAUCAACUACGUGGUGGUGAAGGACAAAACAGCAAGAGUGGUUCGUUUCUGUUCUAAGAUAAAGAGUUUGCAGCUCGCGAAGGUGGUGAUAGACUAGAGCGUUUCGGACUCCUCUUUGAACGACCACACUCCUAACUACCGGUAAGAUUAUGAUCUUCAGCUUACAGAAGGAUGUGACCUUAUCCAUAGGUAUUCGAUUACCUACUACCUUGAAACCCGGGUCUCUUCCUCCAGGUACCUAUGGGACUUCCUCGUUUCUAAUUAAAACAAUGGACCAGUGUACUGCCAGCAUUAGAUAGUAAGUCACAAGCUCAACUUCUCCUCCUGUUGUUUUAGUCGUUCGAUUCCCAUACCUAACGCCUGUACCUUAGACCUCUUCGUGCCGGUGAAAAAUUUAGAGGACUAUAUAUGAACUUACGAUAAAAACUGUCGAAACAUACCCAACUAUUGAGAUGAAACAAUCAGACGUGAUAGGGACAUAGUGCACCUCGAGAUGGUGUCUUCGGUAGUCAAGGUAGACCAGGUUUUUAAGUCAGAUUACUCUGUUUCUUACACCAGGUUCACUCUUGUAAGGUCCUAGAAGACUUUCUACUUAUACUACGACUAAAUAAACUAAUGAUACGUUGGAGUGUCGAGUACAACCAGAGAAACCUACCUUGACACUUCGGUUACCCCGGAGGAUAUGUGUAGGUAACUAGGUAGUGGUCUACUGUUUAUAAACUACGAAAGAAGAUAGGUGGCAGGUAUAAGGAUAUAACAUGGGACACCUUCCAAAGGUUUCUCUCAACUUAAUACCUGACGUCUACCAUUCAAAUAAUCCCUUGAAACACUGAACGGGGAACGUCUCCUGUAUGGUUAACGCUGCUCGUCGCACGCGUUCCCUUUUGCAAGUUAGAUAACCUCCGGUCUGUUUGGAAGUUGAAACAUAACCCACCUCUGUGUUCUACCACCUCUACGUUUCCAACUUCAAAGUGGUGCACUGUAUCAAAUGUACCUUUUACGACUCGGGUAUUUACCGCUUGUUGGUCUUUAGGAUGUAUUUGAACUGGAGGCUAUACCUCCUUAGAGAACCACACUACUUAGAGAACGAAACCACAUACUUAGUACCAUGUUUUGAGCCUUUUGUUCUUGUACCCACCAACGAGGUCUGUUCUUUCUACAGUCAGGCGCGUAAAAUAAACUGUCUAGAAGUCUUCUACACAUGAGACUAGGACCGAGUGGUUACGACGCUUCUUGACGGUACCCUUGUAUACAAUAACGUUUCCAAUUAUUUGUUCUACUUUCAUGAAUGGAGAACGACUUACCUUACCCACGGUGUGGUCUUCCUUUGCAAGGUAAGGAACUGAACAAACUAUAUUUAUGACCUUCAUUUCUCGCUUAUACCCUUUCACUGUUCCUUUUUAUGAAACUUUGACAACAACGGAACUACAGUCUGUUUUAACUACCCCUGGAAGGGGAACUAGUCAAUUUCUAUGAAUGUAGUUUUCUUAGUUUUUGUCUUUUAUGUGUUAUAAUGGAUGUUUAAACCGGUCUUUUCUUCGUUCAUGUCUAAUGUUUAAAAGGGGUGGGUAUGGGGGUCGAACGAAGUAACAUAUUCCUUUACUAUUCCAUGGUCGCGUUUCUACCCCAAGUUGAAUGUCGUUUCAACAUAGAUGGAGGUCCAAUACUAGUUAGUUUUCUACCUGGAAACGGUACAAAUCAAACCAGUAUGGGACCACUCAAAUUUUCGUUUCUACGACGUCCUGUUCAUGCACCAAGGGGAUUACUCAAAAGUCCCUAACCACGAUGUAGAGGAGAAGAAACCAACCGAUCUCCCAAACGAUAAGAAAGUCCAGGCUGUUAGGGCUAACAACCACUUCCACUACAUCUCCGUUUGCUGUCAAUACACCUUGUUGAUCAUUGAUCACGUCUCCGACGGCAGCUCCUUCAACAGUCCUCUCCCCACCAGGUAGGACUAUUUUAUCGACAACCGCCAGUAAGUAUACCACGUAAGUACUGUCGUUUAGAGAAUCGAGUACGAGGAGUAGAAAAGACGACACCUUAACGAGCAAGACCUCGAAUGUUGUCCUGCAAUUGAGGUAAACCCAAAGUCUUACUCCUGUCUUGUGAAACCCUCCGUUGAUUGUGGAUACACCUCUACUCGGGAAAGUACAGCCGAUUGUUUUAGUUCUCUGGUUAUAAUGAAUAAGUACCCCUCGUUCUGUUGUUAAGACCUUGUGACUGUUACGUCAGCCUGGCUAAGAAGUUACGCAACUUCCCAGUGCCACAUGUCAGAGCAAACCAUUAUGAAGGAAAACUUUCGGUACCCAUGAGACGGUCCCUCUCGUAAUACGUGCACGAAACCCUCAGACUGUCCACCGACGUCUUCAUGACACAUUUGCCGUGAUCGUUCCGACUAAGUCUCUGUCGUCGACUACCUCUUUCAUUUUGUAACCGUCGGUCACCACCACCUCGUCGUAGACUUCCACAUUCGAGGCUCCCUAAGAGUAGUUAGGGUGCUAGCGAAGACACUAGUUGAUGACAAUUUUACAUGCCCUUUAUUUUAGUAGAGACCUGUCGUACGUGUCCGGUUUUCCUUUUAUUUUACACGACGGCUUGAACAUACUUGGCCACGAAGAAGGUCCGAAUUCUGACCUACCGGUAACAUAAAACUGACGUAAAGGCGUCUUCCACUAACAAGGUGUCUAACCACCCCCAAUUCCUUUCGAAGUGUAACAGCCUAAAACGCGGGACCGACUUAAGAGUUGACAUUAAGACAACCACCCCUGCGGGUUCUAUGACAUUAAAACAUGGGUGUGAAUCGCUGUUACAUGUCCACAUCUGAUCACGCAUGGUAAUGGUUUUGUCAGCGACGCACGUCACAAGAUAACAAACUGACGCCUUUAUUUAAAUACUACCUCUUGUCGAAUUAUACAACCGCAAACUCUAAUGACUUGACUUCGUUAGUCACUUCAA
rnacentral:rRNA from 1 species